CUGUGUGUUUUCCGUAUUUGUUUUCACUCUUCCUCCUCCUCCUUCUUUUCAUUCUUUUUCAUGUCCUCUUUUAUUUUCUGUCCUGUCUCUCUUUUGUUUAACCAUCCCUCCCUUUCUUACCUUUGUCAUUUCUUCCGUCUGUGUUUUCCCUCCUCCUCCUCCUCCUCUUCUUCCUCCAUCAUCUUUUCUUUCUCCUCCCUCCAUCCUCUCCCCCUGAAGGAGCCCUCUGUGUCCCUCAGACACUCCUCCUCUUCCUCCUCCCUCCUCCGUCGCCCCAGCAACCCCUCCUCCCCCUCCUCCACUACAGAUCCCUCCCUCCAUCACCUCCUCCGUCACCUCCCCCCCUCGCAGACACCCCGGCCCCCGACGGAGGGCCUCUCCUCCUGGGGACACUCAGGAUCUGGCUCCGCCCCCCAGCAGCCCUUCAUGGUUGUAUCUGACCGGCGUCCGUCUCUCUCGGGUCAAAGCCUCCACAGCGUCCCGCUGAGUUACGCCACUCUGCCUCGAGGUCCUCGCCGAGCUCAGCCUCCCCCCUCUGCCCCCCCCUCCUCCUCCUCCCUCCCCCGUGGCGUCUCCGGCCCCGCCCCCCCUCCUCCACACAGUCUCUACGCCACGCUGUCUCACCCUCGACGCACUGCCGCAUCCAACGCUCACCGCCGGCAGCCAUCUCUGCCCGGUACACUCGACGGCUCCGCCCCCGCCCAGCCGCUGCGCCUAGAUGUUCCCCCGGAGACCGACUGGCGCCGAGACACCAACUACAGGACCGUGUCUUCCUCCUCCUGGGACCCCCGCGCCGCACGCGGCCACCAGUCGCUCCAGCGGACGGCCGCCCGCCAGACGCCACUGCCGCGGCUCUGCUUGCUCUGCCAGCAGCUUCCUGCCGAGCCAACGCGGCCCUACUGCCCGUCCUGCAGCGCCUACGUGGCUCGCAUCGCGGACGCCACUCUUAGGAGCGUGCAUCGCCGAUGAUGACGCACAUCGAUUUAGAUUCACAACUUCCCGAUUUGAUUACACUUGUGAUUCGGCUCCAUGUCAGUAAUGUCAGGGAACAUUUUAGUUACAAAAGACCCAGUUUUGACCCUUUCUCCCUAAAAUAUUCAAACUUUUUCUCCAAAAUGUUUUUGCCUGGAUAUAAACUAAUACUUGUGUAUGUCUGAGGCCCCCAAAAGGACUUUUUACUUCUAUAUCUGUGGUGAAAUGGCAGAUAUAGAAAUAUUCUUUUAUGGAUCAGAUCACUCAAACAAAGAUCCAUUUUAAACUGUUUGAACCCAGAACAAGACACACACACACACACACACACACACACACACACACACACACACACACACACACACAGAGAUACACACACACACACACACACACACAGAGAUACACACACACACGCGCACACGCGCACACACACAGAGAUACACACACACACACACACACACACAGACACACACACACAGACACACACACACACACACACACACACACACACAGAGACACACACACACACACACACACACAUACACAGACACACAUGCACGCGCACGCACACACACACAGACAGAGACACACACACACACACACACACAUACAAUCUCACACACACACACACACACAGAUACACGCACACACACACACACACACACACACACACACACACAAUCACACACACACACACACACAGAGAUACACGCACGCACAUACACAGACACACAUGCACAGACACACACAGACACACAUGCACACGCACACAGACAGACACACACACACAGACACACACACACGCACACACACACACAAACACACACACACACACACACACGCACACACACACACAAACACACACACACACAGAGACACACACACACACACGCAGAGAAACACACAAACGCAUACACACACACACACACACACACUCUACUUAUUAAACUGUAUUUAUUUUUGUAGGCUUGUGAGACUGAGUUGUGCGUAGAUGAAACUACUCUACCCGAGUAUAUAUAUAUUCUAGUAUAUGUAUACUCCUAUAGUCUACUUUUCUAAAAGCUAGUUUAGUCGCCUUGUUUUCGGGAUUCUUCCAGCGAGGCUGUUAGAGAUUAAAGCUUUUAUUUUGACAGCUAAUAUUUAGCAUGAUAUUUAAUAAUAUAGCCUUGAGAGACUUUGGUGUACAUUUAUUAUAACGAUGAUACUUUUUUAGUGCACUUCAGAAGUGUCGAUAGAUUUAUUUCACGUUCGCUCGUUGCUCCUCGUUUCCUCCGUGGGCUUGUGUGUUUUUUGUACUCUGACGACUUUUAAACCGGUUUCAUAGAUUAAAGGGUAACUACGGGCAACCUGGACACUCUGCCCUCAUGUUUCUGUGUCUAAGUAACUGAUGGAAACAACAGUCUUUGACAUCGGUCCAGAUUUAAGAAAGAACCAAGCUGCAAUGUAACGUAAAACCGUCAGUUAGCAUCCACUAAAAGUUCUGUUGUUGCCGCUGACAGACUCAGAUUAUUAUUCUAAGUGUGACAACAUUAUGAAAGGAUCCCUACAGAGAUAGACCUUUUAGUUAAAGAGUAAGAUCCUUUUUUUAAACAUAAAAACAUCCGCGAAAUUGCUCUCUCUAAACCCACCAGACUCCAUGUAAAUAAUCACUACUUUUAUCAUCGUAAAACACACUUCAUUCAAAGUGGACAGAAACUAAAUAAAACUAUCAAAAGUCGUCACAUGUGGAGAUAUGCUGGCUCUAUACACGCUAAAAGUACUGAUUAUUUACAUGGAGUCUGGUGGAAAUAUGCUGGCUCUAUACACGCUAAAAGUACUGAUUAUUUACAUGGAGUCUGGUGGAAAUAUGCUGGCUCUAUACACGCUAAAAGUCCUGAUUAUUUACAUGGAGUCUGGUGGGUUCGGUGAUGGUGAUUUAAUACUGGACCAAUGUCAAAGCUUGUUGUUUCCAUCAGUCACUUAGACACAAAAACAUGAUGAAAUAGGGUCCAGGUUGAAAAAUCCAGAAGUUCCCUUUUAAUGAAUGAACACAUGAAUGCUGUGAAUGAAUAACCGCUCGUGUGGUGGAUAAAACAAACGUACCCAAGUCUGGUCUGAAGCCAAAACAUUCACAGCUGCGAUUAUUCUGCAUAUUACUCAAGAUAUUUACAAUUAUAAUCAAACAAAAUCACUUAAAGAGGGAAAUAUAUAUUGAUUACUUCCUCCUGAUUUGAUUCUCAGAUGCUGCAGCCAAACACAGGAAGUGUUCCUUUCAGAAUAAAAGACUUCAGAGCAGAGCUGAGUUCAACAUAAUUAAUAGUUAUAAAGUUAAAGUUCAUGGUUUUUUUGUUUUGUGUUUUUUUGCUUCGCCAGAUUUGAUUUUGGUAUAUUUUUGAUGCUUAUUUUUCUACACUGUAGACUUAUAACAGAGAUGAUACGAUGAUUAAAAUGUUUAAAGGAA
ensembl:lncRNA